rnacentral:rRNA from 1 species
GGCUAACGCUGGCGGCGUGUCUUAGCCAUGCAAGUCGAGCGGACUUAUGGGGUAACUUAUAAGUCAGCGGCGGACGGCGGAGUAACACGUAGCUAACCUACCCUCUGGACGGGGAUAACCUACCGAAAGGUGGGCUAAUACCCGAUGUAGUCAUCCUGUAUAGGGGUGAUGAAAGGUGGGCUUCUGUUUACAAGCUCAUGCUGGAGGAGGGGGCUGCGGCCUAUCAGGUAGUUGGUAGGGUAAUAGCCUACCAAGCCGAUGACGGGUAGCCGGCCUGAGAGGGUGACCGGCCCGAGGGGCACUGAGAUACGGGUCCCACUCCUACGGGAGGCAGCAGGCUAGAAUUGGGCAAUGGGGGAAACCCUGACCCAGUGACGCCGCGUGCAGGAAGGAGCCCUUCGGGGUGUAAACUGCUGUCGUGUAGGGAGAAGGGUACUAAGGUGAACAAUCUUAGUACUUGACGGUACUACAGGAGGAAGCCCAGGCUAACCUCGUGCCAGCAGCCGCGGUAAUACCAUAACUCGCGU